rnacentral:tRNA from 1 species
GGGCCUAUAGCUCAGCGGUAGAGCAUCUGACUUUUAAUCAGAGGGUCGCUGGUUCGAUCCCAGCUGGGCUCACCA